rnacentral:rRNA from 1 species
UGAGGAAUAUUGGUCAAUGGACGAGAGUCUGAACCAGCCAAGUAGCGUGAAGGAUGACUGCCCUAUGGGUUGUAAACUUCUUUUAUAAGGGAAUAAAGUGAGGGACGUGUCCCUUUUUGUAUGUACCUUAUGAAUAAGGAUCGGCUAACUCCGUGCCAGCAGCCGCGGUAAUACGGAGGAUCCAAGCGUUAUCCGGAUUUAUUGGGUUUAAAGGGAGCGUAGGUUGACAUAUAAGUCAGCUGUGAAAGUUUACGGCUCAACCGUUAAAGUGCAGUUGAUACUGUAUGUCUUGAGUGUACAAGAGGUGGGCGGAAUUCGUGGUGUAGCGGUGAAAUGCAUAGAUAUAACACAGAACACCGAUUGCGAAGGCAGCUUACUAGUAUGUAACUGACGCUGAGGCACGAAAGCGUGGGGAGCAAACAGG